UACGUAGGGUGCGAGCGUUGUCCGGAAUUAUUGGGCGUAAAGGGCUCGUAGGCGGUCUGUUGCGUCGGGAGUGAAAACUCAGGGCUUAACCCUGAGCCUGCUUCCGAUACGGGCAGACUAGAGGUAUGCAGGGGAGAACGGAAUUCCUGGUGUAGCGGUGAAAUGCGCAGAUAUCGGGAGGAACACCAGUAGCGAAGGCGGCACUCUGGGCCGGUACUGACGCUGAGGAGCGAAAGCGUGGGGAGCGAACAGG
rnacentral:rRNA from 1 species